rnacentral:rRNA from 1 species
AUUGAACGCUGGCGGCAGGCCUAACACAUGCAAGUCGAGCGAGCGGCGGACGGGUGAGUAAUGUCUGGGAACCUGCCUGAUGGAGGGGGAUAACUACUGGAAACGGUAGCUAAUACCGCAUACCAUCAGAAGGGCCCAGAUGGGAUUAGCUAGUUGGUGGGGUAAUGGCUCACCUAGGCGACGAUCCCUAGCUGGUCUGAGAGGAUGACCAGCAACACUGGAACUGAGACACGGUCCAUACUCCUACGGGAGGCAGCAGUGGGGAAUUUUGCACAAUGGGCGAAAGCCUGAUGCAGCCAUGCCGCGUGUGUGAAGAAGGCCUUCGGGUUGUAAAGCACUUUCAGCGGGGAGGCGUUACCGGCAGAAGAAGCACCGGCUAACUACGUGCCAGCAGCCGCGGUAAUAC